GGGGAAUAUUGCACAAUGGGCGAAAGCCUGAUGCAGCAACGCCGCGUGAGUGAUGAAGGCCUUCGGGUUGUAAAGCUCUGUCUUCUGGGACGAUAAUGACGGUACCAGAGGAGGAAGCCACGGCUAACUACGUGCCAGCAGCCGCGGUAAUACGUAGGUGGCAAGCGUUGUCCGGAUUUACUGGGCGUAAAGGAUGCGUAGGCGGAUACUUAAGUCAGAUGUGAAAAUCCCGGGCUUAACUUGGGAACUGCAUUUGAAACUGGGUAUCUAGAGUGCGGGAGAGGAAAGUGGAAUUCCUAGUGUAGCGGUGAAAUGUGUAGAGAUUAGGAAGAACACCAGUGGCGAAGGCGACUUUCUGGACCGUAACUGACGCUGAGGCAUGAAAGCGUGGGGAGCAAACA
rnacentral:rRNA from 1 species